rnacentral:rRNA from 1 species
AUUGAACGCUGGCGGCAGGCCUAACACAUGCAAGUCGAACGAGUGGCGGACGGGUGAGUAAUGUCUGGGAAACUGCCUGAUGGAGUAGGAUAACUACUGGAAACGGUAGCUAAUACCGCAUACCAUCAGAUGUGCCCAGAUGGGAUUAGCUUGUUGGUGGGGUAACGGCUCACCAAUGCGACGCUCCCUACCUGGUCUGAGAGGAUGCCCAGCCACACUGGAACUGAGACACGGUCCAGACUCCUACGGAAGGCAGCAGUGUGGAAUAUUGCACAAUGGGGGCAAGCCUGAUGCAGCCAUGCCGGGUGUAUGAAGGAGGCCUUCGGGUUGUAAAGUACUUUCAGCGGGGAGGCGUUACCCGAAGAAGAAGCACCGGUGAACUCCGUGCCAGCAGCCGCGGUAAUU